CCCUUAGAUGUCCUGGGUCGCACGCGCGCUACACUGACAUGUUCAACAAGCCUCCUAGUUCGACAGGAUUUGGGAAAUCUUUGAACGCAUGUCGUGAUAGGGAUAGAUCAUUGCAAUUAUUGAUCUUGAACGAGGAAUUCCUAGUAAACGCGAGUCAUCAGCUCGCAUUGAUUACGUCCCUGCCCUUUGUACACACCGCCCGUCGCACCUACCGAUUGAAUGUUUCGGUGAAGAUUCCGGAUAGGACUUUUUUGAUUUAUUUCAAUUUUGUCUUAAAAGCUAUCUAAACCUCAACAUUUAGAGGAAGGUGAAGUCGUAACA
rnacentral:rRNA from 1 species